rnacentral:rRNA from 1 species
GACGAACGCUGGCGGCGCGCCUAACACAUGCAAGUCGAACGGAGCUUAGAGAGCUUGCUUUUUAAGCUUAGUGGCGAACGGGUGAGUAACGCGUGAGUAACCUGCCCUAGAGUGGGGGACAACAGUUGGAAACGACUGCUAAUACCGCAUAAGCCCACGGUACCGCAUGGCACUGAGGGAAAAGGAUUUAUUCGCUUUAGGAUGGACUCGCGUCCAAUUAGCUAGUUGGUGAGGUAACGGCCCACCAAGGCGACGAUUGGUAGCCGGACUGAGAGGUUGAACGGCCACAUUGGGACUGAGACACGGCCCAGACUCCUACGGGAGGCAGCAGUGGGGGAUAUUGCACAAUGGGGGAAACCCUGAUGCAGCGACGCCGCGUGGAGGAAGAAGGUUUUCGGAUUGUAAACUCCUGUCGUUAGGGACG